AGGGCUAUAGCUCAGUGGGUAGAGCACUUGCCUGGUAUGCAAGAAAACUUGGGCUUCAUCUAGAACUU
rnacentral:tRNA from 1 species